UACGACGGGGUCUAGCGUUGUUCGGAAUCACUGGGCGUAAAGCGCACGCAGGCGGAUCGAUAAGUCGGGGGUGAAAGCCCGGGGCUCAACCUCGGAAUUGCCUUCGAUACUGUCGGUCUCGAGUCCGGGAGAGGUGAGUGGAAUCCCUAGUGUAGAGGUGAAAUUCGUAGAUAUUAGGAAGAACACCAGUGGCGAAGGCGGCUCACUGGCCCGGUACGGACGCUCAGGUGAGAAAGCGUGGGGAGCAAACAGG
rnacentral:rRNA from 1 species